rnacentral:lncRNA from 1 species
GCAUAAGCUGCACUUUUACAGCAACGUGAGUUACCAGUGUCACUUAGAAGUCCCAGCACCCUUCUACUUCUGCUGUUCAUCACUAUCCUCCCACUGCUCUUUCUGUUAUGCUGGCAAAACCAUUCACAUGAACCCUCUUAUGAACUUAAUCAGAGAAAUGGUGACAUAAAGGCAUGAACAAGCAGCCUGCAGUGCCCUAGGAAAUGCAAGAGAUGUGUUUCUGUUGCAUCACUCCCUGACAGCUCCAGGUCUUCUUGGCUUUGGCAUGGGACAUAUGCCAGAAAAACAUGAAGUUCUGUUAUGGACAAAGGACAGAGCCCAAAUACUGAUAGUCUUGCUGGGUGAGACUGCGUGUGCCAGCUAGUCUGUGUGUGCUCCAGUGAUUGAAGAAGUACUGGACCUGAAUCUUUUCUGACAAGGCACAAAAGACACAAUACCCUGGGAGCAAGUCUUGCUAAAAGAAUGAUCCAGGACUACAUCCCUCUAAUUGCUUGGCUGAGUGUGAUCCCAUGGAUUGAACCCCCAACAGUGGCUGGAGAUCACAAGGAUUUUUACUUGUGGAUACUAAUAGACACAAGAUACUCAGCUAGGUGGACCAUUGGCCUAAACCAGAACAGCAGUUUUUUAAUUCUUCUAACCACGGCCUUGCUUCAUUUCUGGGCUCUGUGA